UUCUACUUCCACACUCGAACACAACAAUACUGAUUUCCCUCUCUAAAAUUCUCACCCUAUACCACCGCACAGCAAAAACGAUCCCCACCCCUUCUCUUUGACGCCCACAGCAAUUUUCCGUCACCCAAACCAGCCCACGCCACCACCAACUGAGUCCCAACCCCACUGGCACCGCAACGACCGAUCUGUUUCACCACCAAUAUCGAGAUUGUAUCUUGGUCUUCGAUUUUCAGACAAUCAUUCACAAUGCAUAUGCUUCAAUUAAUGACAUCAUGGGCUGUAAUUUGUGAUGUUUGGUACUUGAAACCAAAACUACAAUUACUUAAUUUUUCCACCUCCUCUGUCAACCAUCUUGGAUCUAUUUAAAAUUCUUUCUACUGUUGAUGCUCUAUUGAGUGAGUUUCUGAUCUUGUUGUAUAGUUGAUUUUAACUCUUAUCUUGCUUGCGUGUUGCUGCUUGUUGCUGUUUGGUACCCUUCUGCUAGGCUUUAUGUCUGAUUUAAUACCAUCUUGAUGCUCCUGAUUGUUUAUAAAUACAACUAGUGAUCUUAUCUUGCCCUUCCGUGAGGAUCUCAAGGGUUGUUGUGAUGAUCCUCCAUGGCUUUUGGUUCCUUGAGAAUCGUGCUUGUGUUAGAUGGUAUUUCUUUUUUAUUAUUUAAAUGGAUUGCUGUUAAAAAUAUAACAAGUCAUUACAAAAUUCUAUGAAUAUGAAUAAUGAAUAAUGCACUUGAAUAUGAACAAACUAUUGAUGUGCUGGUUUAUAUGUUGUAUUGCUUGCUAUAUUAUGUAGAGGAAGGAGCAACUGCUAUUGCUGCUGCGCACAAUGAAAGGAGCUGGUUUUAGACCAAGAAGAUAUUGUGUUAUUGACUGUGUUGUUGCCCUGUUAGUCCUCUGUCACGUUGCCACCAGGUUGCUUUAUAUUAAUGGGACAAUGUUUGGUCUACAAACUGCUUGCUAGUGUAUGUGCUUCUGUACAUGCAGAGUUCUCUUUUGCCUCCUGUGCGUGCUCUCCCGCAGAUGCCUGUUGCCUGCUGUUUUCCUGCUUAAGUUGCUGGUCUUCAGCUGCCUGCAUCUGUGGUUUCUUUUGUUGUCUGAUCUGCACAACUUAAGAUCAAAUAUCUGCACAUCUCUGAUCUGUAGUUCUCUUUGCAUUUUCCUGCUGCUGCUUGGUGAUCUACACCUAUGCAGGUCCCCAUACGUAUGCAAUGAAAGCUGAUCAGAUGGAUAAUGACCAUACUGCUGGUUUUGCCUUUUGCCCCCUUGGUAGUACAGUUGAGGAGUGUUAAUUACUUUGUCGAAGCUUUAGGCAUGCUAAUUUUGUUCUCAUAGAAGAGUUUUGUAUUUUAGUAAAUGUAUAGACGAUUCAUGUGUAGCUACCCUUGCCAACUGUGGCUUUUUUUGGGUUUUGUGGUUCCUCCUUGUUUGAUUGUAUAGACCUUUAUUCUAUUGAAUGAUAUAUAUAUUUAUAAUAUAAAAUAAUAAUAAUAAUAAUAAUAAUAAUAAUAAUAAUUUACCGUCAAUAUUAGUUAAAAAAAGUUCAGCCACACUUAUUUGUGUGGGAAAACAUGAAGAAAAACAAUGGACUAUGAAAUCAAUGCAGCCACACUUAUCAAGUGAGGGAAGUUUUCAAUACCUAAAAGUGCGGCUAAAAG